rnacentral:rRNA from 1 species
UACAGAGGUCCCAAGCGUUGUUCGGAUUUACUGGGCGUAAAGGGUGCGUAGGUGGUGAGGUAAGUUCGAUGUGAAAUCUCCGAGCUCAACUCGGAAAUGGCAUUGAAUACUAUCCCGCUUGAGGGUCGGAGGGGAGACUGGAAUUCUCGGUGUAGCAGUGAAAUGCGUAGAUAUCGAGAGGAACACCAGUGGCGAAGGCGAGUCUCUGGACAGUUCCUGACACUGAGACACGAAGGCCAGGGGAGCAAACGGG